ACUGCCAUAUCACGUUGAAACACCGGUUCUCGUACGAUCAUCGAAGUUAAGCAACGUUGAGCCUGGUCAGUUCCAAAACGGGCAACCGCUUGAGAAUACCAAAUGCUGUCAG